UACGGAGGGGGCUAGCGUUGUUCGGAAUUACUGGGCGUAAAGCGCACGUAGGCGGCUUUGUAAGUUAGAGGUGAAAGCCCGGGGCUUAACCCCGGAAUAGCCUUUAAGACUGCAUCGCUUGAACACGGGAGAGGUGAGUGGAAUUCCGAGUGUAGAGGUGAAAUUCGUAGAUAUUGGGAAGAACACCGGUGGCGAAGGCGGCUCACUGGCUCGUAACUGACGCUCAUGCACGACAGCGUGGGGAUCAAACAGG
rnacentral:rRNA from 1 species